UUGAGAUUGUUUAUGGUGUCAUAAAUAAUUUUAUAAACAAAAAUUUUAAAAUGGCACAACCAAGGCAUCUAGUUUCUUGUUCUUCCAACAUUUCCAGAAUCUAUGCUCCUGUAAGUUAAACCAUUUUCCUUUGUGAAAUCUGAUGAAAAGGGGAGUGGAGAACAAGCCCUCGCUCCCAUAGUAGCUUUCCUUCACUCUCACAAAUUAUCUGAGACAAAGAAUUUAAAGGGCAAGAAGGUCCAUGUAGGCUCACAGUUUCUGUCUAUGGUUGCUUAGCUCUGUCAUUUCUGGGCCUGUGGCAGCUCUGUACAUCAUGGCAGGAACACGUGAUAAGGGGAAAUGCCUACUUUGUGGUGACCAGGAAACAGAAUGGAAAGGACCCCAGAGCUCCUAAAUAGGCAUGACCCUAAUGGCUUGCUUCUCAUACCUAGGUCCCACCUCCUAAAGAUUUUGCCACCUCCUAAUGGUACCAACAACUGAAGUCCAUGUCUUCAUCACGUGAGCCUUCCAGGAUGUUUCACAUUCAAGCUGUAACAACCCCCAACCUUCUGCCUCACCUCUUCCAGCACUGCCCUACAGUGUGGACUAAGGUCCUCGCAGCUGACAGCUCCCUCCACAGUCCUGCACCUUUCCUAGACUGAAGUCUCCAUGAUAUGACUCAGGACAUCUCUUUGGGUGAUGACAGUGAUGUUCAGAGCCCAGCAUCAAGGCUUUCUGAAAUGCAAGCAUGUCCUUUUACUAGAGGAGGAAGAACAAUCAGAUCCUUAAGAUGAGGAGAGAGUCCUGGCCACAGCAGGGUGUUCCUGCUUUGUCUCACACAUCCUUGUUGCAAAAGCACAGCAAUGGUGAGCUUGCCAGGCAUGUGUAAGACCCAAGUAAAUUCCCAGCAUAAUAGAUAAAUAGAAUAGAAUAGGGAUGGCCAGUAGUGACAGCAACGGAAGUCACUCAUCUUCAGGUAGGAAUGUUCUAGAAUUUGGCUCCUAUGAAGUGGGAAGACUAGCCAUGUUCCAUGGGAGGGGAGUUGGUAGCGGAAGAGACUGAGUCUGAACAGAUCUGAAACCUCAGCUGCUAGUCAGUCUGUCUCCAGUCUUCCCCUUCCCAGCCCAGAGAGUCAGAAGACAAGGGAGACUCUGUGGCAAAGAAACUAAUUAAACGUCGUGGCUCCCUGAAUGGCAAAUCCUGGGCCUUGUUGUCCCCAUACAAGCAAGGGCCGGUGUCCUUUGUGAAUCCAGAUACACCGCCCUCUGGUUCUCUAGAGACGUGGGUACCCACCAUCAUACGCAGCUGCGAACUCACUGGUAAAGAGAGAAAAACAUGCGGACGGAAGCAAGAUGAGGAGAACGCGGAAAACAUUUCCCCCAAACAAGAGAAACCGAGUGACAGUGACAUCAACAAUUUGAGUGUCGAUUUUUUUUUAAUUAAACCAGUUUUGUAGAGUGUUUAAAGCGAUGAUGGUACAGAAGAAGCCAUAACUUUCAUUUGAACAGACAAAGGCUGUGUGGCGAGGCAAACAACGGGAGAGCAGAUGUAUAUAGAGUCAACUAGAAAGCUUGAAGUACAAAAAUAGACUCACUUUUUAAGUCUGUCUGUGAGUCCAGUUUAGACUGGAUACAGAGAGGCAAUAUGCUAAUUUGAGGGGAGUACUGAAGAAUCAUCCAGAACAUACAGGACAAAAUAUUCAAAAAUCUAUAUAUAAACAGAUAUGUGUGAUAAAGUGGCUAUAGAUAACAAAAAUACAGUGUGUGCUUCAGAAUCCUAGAGGAGGGCCAGAGAGAUGGCUCAGCAAGGAAAUAGGUUUGCUGUCAGACCUGAUGACCAGAUUCGAUCCCCAGACUCCCAUGGUAGAAGGACAAAAUCUACUCCUGUAAGUUGUCCUCUGGCCUCCACACAUGCAUGACACCCAUCCCAAAUACACACCUAAACACAGAAUAAAUUUUAAAAAUUUUAAAAAUUCACAAGCAAUUAUGAAUAUUUCAGGAAAUAAAUGAUUAACAUGAUUUAAACACUGCAUCCAUUAAACAUAACAAAGAACCCCAUAAUUAUGCACCAUUUCUGCUGUUUUAUUGGACAUGAAAGUACACUUAAGGGGCUGGAGAGAUGGCUCAGCAGUUAAGAGCUUGUCAUACUCUUGCAGAGGACCAGGUUUGGUUCUGGCGGCUCACAAUUGCCUGUAACUCUGAGUCCAUGGAAUCUGACAUCUCCAGCCCCUGAGAGCUCAUGCACUCGCGUGGACAUACAUGCACAUGGACUCACAUGCACUCACAUGGACACACACACACACCAAGAGACACAUAUACACACAUAGUUAAAAAGAAUAAGACCCAACAGAAACUAAUUUAAAUGCAAAUUUAAACAUAAGACAUAUACAUACAUAUAAUAGUCCCUCUCAGCCAUAACACGAUGGACAUACCUAUGGCCUCAUAGAGACCGUGGCAGCACACACAAGACCUGCACAGCUUCAAACCAGAUAAUAUCCUCACACAUCAAACCAGACAAUCCCCCCACACUGAGAAGAAGAAGAGGACCCAAAGUCCCACCCCUAACCAAGAAGCCAUUUGCAACUGACACCUGCUGGGAAUGGAAAAUUCCUUUUCUCCAAUGGAAAGUCAUUGGGUCCACCAAUCACAGGACAGACACCAUGCUCAGGAGUGGUCAGCCGACACAAAACAAAGUCCAUGUUUUUCAUCUGCUUUUUGUUUUUGCUUUAUUUUACCUUAGUAUUUCUUUUUUGUCUUACUGGUUUUCUUUGUUUAUCUGUUGACUCUCGGGAUCUGUUGUCUUAGGGAGGCAAAGAGAAAAGAAACAUGAAGUUGGGAGAAGUUAGAGGAGAGAAAAGAAUGUGUUCCUAAUGUGUUGCAUGAAAGCUUUCAAUAAAAAGAGUUGAAAAUGCUCCCAAAAGUUAAAAGUAAUCUGAAAUUGUGAACACAGCAUGCAAAACUUAGGCAAGACUGCUAGAGAUACACCUAAAGGGAAAUGUGUAAUACGUAAGUUAUUAGAGAAUAGAAAUGUUGUUCUCUUCUUAACAAAAACUCUUGAUAGACUAGACAUAGAUGGACACUACUCAAAAUACCA